CUGAAGGAACGUUGAAGACGACGACGUUGAUAGGCCGGGUGUGUAAGCGCAGCGAUGCGUUGAGCUAACCGGUACUAAUGAACCGUGAGGCUUAACCUUACAACGCCGAAG
rnacentral:rRNA from 11 species